rnacentral:rRNA from 1 species
AGCGAACGCUGGCGGCAGGCUUAACACAUGCGAGUCGAACGCCCCGCAAGGGGAGUGGCAGACGGGUGAGUAACACGUGGGAACGUACCCUUUGGUUCGGAAUAACUGGGGGAAACUCAAGCUAAUACCGGAUAAGCCCUUAUGGGGAAAGGUUUACUGCCGAAGGAUCGGCCCGCGUCUGAUUAGCUCGUUGGUGGGGUAAUGGCUCACCAAGGCGACGAUCAGUAGCUGGUCUGAGAGGAUGAUCAGCCACACUGGGACUGAGACACGGCCCAGACUCCUACGGAAGGCAGCAGUGGGGAAUAUUGGACAAUGGGGGCAACCCUGAUCCAGCCAUGCCGCGUGAGUGAUGAAGGCCUUAGGGUUGUAAAGCUCUUUUACCCGGGACGAUAAUGACUGUACCGGGAGAAUAAGCCCCGGCUAACUUCGUGCCAGCCGCCGCGGUAA